AGCGAACGCUGGCGGCAGGCCUAACACAUGCAAGUCGAACGAACUCUUCGGAGUUAGUGGCGGACGGGUGAGUAACACGUGGGAACGUGCCUUUAGGUUCGGAAUAACUCAGGGAAACUUGUGCUAAUACCGAAUGUGCCCUUCGGGGGAAAGAUUUAUCGCCUUUAGAGCGGCCCGCGUCUGAUUAGCUAGUUGGUGAGGUAAAGGCUCACCAAGGCGACGAUCAGUAGCUGGUCUGAGAGGAUGAUCAGCCACAUUGGGACUGAGACACGGCCCAAACUCCGACGGGAGGCAGCAGUGGGGAAUCUUGCGCAAUGGGCGAAAGCCUGACGCAGCCAUGCCGCGUGAAUUAUGAAGGUCUUAGGAUUGUAAAAUUCUUUCACCGGGGACGAUAAUGACGGUACCCGGAGAAGAAGCCCCGGCUAACUUCGUGCCAGCAGCCGCCGUAAUAC
rnacentral:rRNA from 1 species